GCGGCCGAGCCAAAGACGUUUCCAACUCCGGGAGCUCCCGCCGGUGCGGGUUCCCAGGAUGGCGUCUGGCAGGCGGGGUGGCUGGGCUUAUAGACAACUGGCUGGGCGGCGCGGCUUGGACUUUGCCAAGCGUUUCACUGAGCCUUCCUUUUAGCGAUGCCGCUUCCCGGGGGCCGAACGCUCUGCCUUGUGAAGCGCCGGGCUUGCAGCCGGCCUGAGAACGAGCGCCCACUCAGCUCUCCCGGGCUUUGGCAAGAAGAGGUGCAGGCUCCUUGGCCCCCAUUUCCUCAGAGCUGCCAGGCCAAGUCUGUGCGGCUUCUAUCGCGUCCCAGCACCUGGGCACCGGCUGAAGCAGUUUGCUUUUUGGCAAUGGUGAUUCGUAUCAGCUGCAACUCUUCCUAGUGUGUGUGGUUUUUUAAGCCCCUUUCCUCCGCUCUGCUCAGAGGUCGCGGCUCUGAGUCAGAGGAACUCUAUGUUCCCUGUGCCUGGUAUUCCGUUUUUCUUUAAGGGGAGUCAAACAUUGAAGGGGGGAAAAGGGGGUGAGAUUUAUUUCCCCAUUGUUGAAAGAAGGGAACGUAUUGACAUGCCAGGAAGUAAAACCUGUUUUUUUUUUUUUUAAAAAAAGUUUUUUUAAAGAAAAAGACGACUUUCACCUUUCACUAUGUUGCUCUUGAACCAGGACCAGGAAUGAAAGUUACUGGGAGAUAACUUCGAAGGAUUUUGCAACAAAUUCGAGCUGUCCGACUCUGAGAAUGGAAGUAACAGCUAGCAGUCGCCACUAUGUUGACAGGCUAUUUGACCCUGAUCCCCAGAAAGUUCUACAAGGUGU
rnacentral:lncRNA from 1 species